rnacentral:rRNA from 1 species
CCAAUAGCGUAUAUUAAAGUUGUUGCAGUUAAAAAGCUCGUAGUUGAAUUUCGGGAUCAAUAUGUCGGUCGUGCCUCGGUACGUACUGGCAUCGUUGGUUUCUCUCUUCCGAUGAACCAUGAUGUCAUUUAUUUGGUGUCGUGGGGCAUCAGGACUGUUACUUUGAAAAAAUUAGAGUGUUUAAAGCAGGCCCACGCUUGAAUACAUUAGCAUGGAAUAAUGAAAUAGGACGUUUGAUUCUAUUUUGUUGGUUUCUAGGAUCGACGUAAUGAUUAAUAGGGAUAGUUGGGGGCAUUAGUAUUCAAUUGUCAGAGGUGAAAUUCUUGGAUUUAUUGAAGACUAACUACUGCGAAAGCAUUUGCCAAGGAUGUUUUCAUUAAUCAAGAACGAAAGUUAGGGGAUCGAAGACGAUCAGAUACCGUCGUAGUCUUAACCAUAAACUAUGCCGACUAGGAAUCAGAUGAUGUUAAUUUUUUAAUGACUCGUUCGGCGCCUUACG